rnacentral:rRNA from 1 species
GACGAACGCUGGCGGCGUGCUUAACACAUGCAAGUCGAACGGAAAGGCCCUGCUUUUGUGGGGUGCUCGAGUGGCGAACGGGUGAGUAACACGUGAGUAACCUGCCCUUGACUUUGGGAUAACUUCAGGAAACUGGGGCUAAUACCGGAUAGGAGCUCCUGCUGCAUGGUGGGGGUUGGAAAGUUUCGGCGGUUGGGGAUGGAAUCGCGGCUUAUCCGCUUGUUGGUGGGGUAGUGGCUUACCAAGGCUUCGACGGGUAGCCGGCCUGGGAGGGUGAACGGCCACAUUGGUACUGAGAGACGGCGCAGACGCCUACGGGAGGCAGCAGUGGGGAAUAUUGCACAAUGGGGGGAAGCCUGAUGCAGAAACGCUCGGUUCGUAAUGAUGUCCUACGGGGGGUAAACCGCUGUCGCCGGUGACGAAGCGUGAGUGACGGUAAUGGGUAAAGAAGCACCGGCUAACUACGUG